rnacentral:rRNA from 1 species
CCUACGGGUGGCAGCAGUGAGGAAUAUUGGUCAAUGGUCGGGAGACUGAACCAGCCAAGCCGCGUGAGGGAUGAAGGUACAGAGUAUCGUAAACCUCUUUUGUCAGGGAACAAAGGCGGGGACGUGUCCCCGGAUGAGUGUACCUGAAGAAAAAGCAUCGGCUAACUCCGUGCCAGCAGCCGCGGUAAUACGGAGGAUGCGAGCGUUAUCCGGAUUUAUUGGGUUUAAAGGGUGCGCAGGCGGUCUGUUAAGUCAGCGGUCAAAGCCCGGGGCUCAACCCCGGCCAGCCGUUGAAACUGGCAGGCUCGAGUUGGAGAGAAGUAUGCGGAAUGCGCGGGGGAGCGGUGAAAUGCAUAGAUAUCGCGCAGAACUCCGAUUGCGAAGGCAGCGUGCCGGCUCCACACUGACGCUGAGGCACGAAAGCGUGGGUAUCGAACAGGAUUAGAUACCCUAGUAGUC